GCCUCGGUAGCUCAGCUGGUCAGAGCGUCGCCUUGGUAAGGCGAAGGUCGCGGGUUCAAAUCCCGCCCGAGGCU
rnacentral:tRNA from 2 species